rnacentral:rRNA from 1 species
AGUACUUGUACUUGGUGGCGAGUGGCGAACGGGUGAGUAAUAUAUUGGAACGUACCGAGUAAUGGGGGAUAACUAUCCGAAAGGAUAGCUAAUACCGCAUACGCUUUGAGAAGGAAAGCAGGGGAUCUUCGGACCUUGCGUUAUUCGAGCGGCCAAUAACUGAUUAGCUAGUUGGUGGGGUAAGGGCCUACCAAGGCGACGAUCAGUAGUGGGUCUGAGAGGAUGAUCCGCCACACUGGGACUGAGACACGGCCCAGACUCCUACGGGAGGCAGCAGUGGGGAAUUUUGGACAAUGGGCGAAAGCCUGAUCCAGCCAUGCCGCGUGUCUGAAGAAGGCCUUCGGGUUGUAAAGGACUUUUGUUAGGGAAGAAAAGGUUGAUGCUAAUAUCAUUAACUGAUGACGGUACCUAAAGAAUAAGCACCGGCUAACUACGUGCCAGCAGCCGCGGUAAUACGU